rnacentral:tRNA from 1 species
GGCUCCAUAGUGUAGUGGUUAGCAUGUCUGCUUUACACGCAGAAGGUCCUGGGUUCGCACCCCCAGUGGAGCCG